rnacentral:lncRNA from 1 species
GAUGAUUCUGAUGAAUGCCGUGGGGUAAGUCUUCUUGGCCUCAUCAAGCUCCUUCAACACCUGGGAUGCGUCAGUGCAUCCGAACAUGGGAAGUUUCCACAUGAUCCAGCAGCGCCCAUCAUAGUACCCAGGUAUCCUGAGGUUCUCACGGUACACGAAUCCGUGCUAUACAUGGCAAAAACAAACGCACAGAAUUUAUCAGCACAAAUUGUACAAGAGAGGUGUAGCAGAAUAAUUUUGAUGAACAGAUUACAGAGCUUGAAAUGACCUCCAAUUCGAAUUCCAAGCACGGAACCCACUUAUUGCGAAGAAGGUAUUCUACUUCCUUAAACAACCUCUCUCGAGUGAGAUCAGGGAGGUAUGAGAGAGUCUCAAACUUCUUCUUCCCCAGUGGAGGCCACACCUACAGUCACAAAAAUGGUAUUCAGUUGCAUCAAGCAUUACACUAAAAAAUAAUAGCGAUGAAAAUUAGGCUUAUGCACUGUGUUCAAUUUAGUUGCUAAUUGCUGUGCAUAACCAUAUAGUUGCACCAAGUACCUGCAUGCAUUGCACUCUGCCACCAUUGCUUGCGAGAGAAGUAAUGUCGUUGUUGGCCUUGCGAGCGACUGGGAGAGCAGAGGUAGACUUGAGGCCGGUGAAUGGGGCGACCAUGCUGGCCUGUGCCGGGGAGGCACGGUUAACGGUGGCGACGGUUGCCGAUGAGAUCAUUGAGGAAGCCAUUGCUGAUGCUACUUACUAGUGUAUAUGCUAGAGUUACGAAAUUCUCACUCCCUUGAUAGUGUUUUGCUCCAGUGCAAUAUCCUAUAUAUAAUGAUAAAAUUUGGCCUUCUCAUACCUUAUGGUGACAAAAUGUUGGGCUUCAUUUGGGAGAAAGGGUGGCCGUUGGAUCGAAAAUCUGGUGACAUUACAACAUGAUGACCACAAGAGGGUGGAAAAAUUUUGAAUGGUAGCCUUAUCUUUUUGGCACCACAAUGACCGUGCCACGUGGAAGAAGCUCCAUGAUCUUAUCUCAUCCAAUGGAGGGCAUGAAUGUGUGAUGGGCAUUGCCUUAUUUCCUUCUGUCAGCCUUUACUCUCUUCUUGCAUUUUUGCAUAAAAAUCAGUACCGUCCCAUUUGGACUUUGGCAAAUCUAUGACCAUACCUUCUUUGCUCAUGCUUUGGACUUGUACCGUUCGCCUUAUCCUCUUUACAUAUACCUGGAGUAAAACAUUUUGAAAUUGUUAUUUAGAUAUUUUUCUCUUUCCAACAGGCUAUGCUCUUUCUUUGGUUCAUCUUUUAUCUCAUCAGAUUUUCUUUCCUAAUUAUUUGAUCCUAUAAUCUUUAUAUUUAAAUGUUUCAAGAUCAAAUAUAUUGAAUUGCUUCCUGGUAGAUAUAAACUUGGAAAUGAAAUGUUAACAGUCCAUUACAGGGAUUGAUUGUUAGAAUGAGAAUACACAGGAGCACUAGUUGUUUCUGUUUCUUUCUUUCUUUGCUUGAAGAAACCAUGGCAGGCAGUAGCCGGUAAGGGCUGAGCUGAUGCCAUUGGCUAAAGGCAAUUAUUGGCCAUGGAAGAGGCAAUCAUGGUGUAUAUAUAUGUGAUGUCAAUAAGGGAAUCAAUUAAAGUGGCUAAGAAUAUCCAGGGGGUACAACAAGGAUUGCCUGCCAAUCACUCUUUCUUCCAAAGCUUUAGUAAUUGAAAAAACUCAGCCAUUUCUUUUUAUAUGCUCCUCUUUGAAAUGUACAAAUAUGUCCUGGCACAUAAUUCUUCUCAAAGACUUUAUUAAAAGAGAGAGUCAAUCAUUUGGUAGCCAGUGUUGGAUUCAUUUUUUUUUAAUUUUAUUUUAAAUGCAUGACGUGAGAAUAUUUAUGAGAAUAAAGAAAUUAAUUUACUUCUAAAGUUUUCUAAAAUCUUUUCAGGUGGAAUGUUAAGCCAUUAAAUUUCAUGGAGUUAAAUGGCCUUUACUAUUAAGGCCAAUUGUUAGACACAUAACAAUCUCCUCUAGAAGGCGAUCAUGCCUGCUGAAUUAGUCAUACUUUGAUUAAUUACACUCAAGCAUCAAUUUCCUCCGAUAAAAACAAAUGCAAGCCUUUUGCGAAAAGUUCAGUUGCAAGGGCGGCCUAUAGCUUCCUCUCAAUUACAGCCCACUUGAUCUAUUGGUUUUGACUUUCAGACUUUGAAUUAGUCCAUGCAUCCUGUUGCCUACGUUCCCUGCAUGGAUGAGCUGUGCCAUUGCUAUUAAACUGUAGUUUCUGCUGCCUAGAGAUUUUUAGCCAUAAUCAAAAUGUCAAAGUUUCUCAUUCACAAAAUAAAGAGAGAAAAAGGGCGAAUACAACUCAGGAGGUAGGAUCUCUCCCUUGUAUCAAACUGGUUUGGUCGUCAUAUUUAAAGGUUAUAUAUAUAGUCAUAUUUAAAGGUUAUAUAUAUAUGACCAGGUUUAGACUUUACUUAGUUACUCGCUGGAACAUUUCCAGGUAGGACUGGGAACUUCGUCAACCAUGAAGAACCGCCUACUCUUGACAUCGUCACUGCAGUCAAGCAUCAAAACAGAUUGUAAUUCUUAUAUAAGUGAAACAAUUCUCUAAUUUCCUUCAUCAAUCCCUUGCUCUCUUCACAAUUUCACUGCUUCAAUUAGCCCAAAACCCUUUCAAUUAUUUACUUCUUGUUUGUUAUAAUUUUUUUGCCCUCUUGCCAUGAACGAAAGAUUGAGGGGGGCUGCUCAUUCGGGAAGCAUUGAUGCACUGUAUGCAUCAAUUCAGGAGAAUGCCCAUGUUUUUGAGCUUAUUGAUCAGAUUCCUUUUGUUGACACUUCACUACACCUGGCUGCAAAAGCCGGGCACGUCGAAUUUGUCAUGGAGAUGAUGAACUUAAAGCCAUCAUUUGCCAGGAAGCUGAACCAAGACGGUUUGAGCCCCAUUCACCUUGCCUUGGCAUAUGAACAAAAAGAGAUGGUAGAUCUUCUCCUAGCAAGUGAUAAAGAUCUUGCUUGUGUCAAGGGCAAGGAGGGCUACACUCCUUUGCACUAAGCAGCAAAACAUGGAAACCUUCCUCUUUUGGCUCAAUUGCUGAUCGUUUGCCCUGAAUGUAUUGAAGAUACCACAACUCGAAAUGAAACUGCUCUUCACAUUGCAGUGCAAAGCAAUAGAUUCGACGCUCUUGAAGUCCUAGCAAAGACUGCACAGUGGCCUUUCAGGACCUUUCGUGACAAUAGCAAAGUUUUGGGAAUAGAAGUCCUAAACAGGAAGAACAACGAUGGAAACACAGCGUUGCACUUGGCCGCAUUGAAUAAUCAACCCCAGGCAUGCAUGCUCUCCCUUUUUUUUUUUUGUCCCAAUUCAUUAUCUUUGUUUCACAUUUUAAAUUCAUAUGAUUAUAUUUUAUAAAUAAAGGUCAAAAUUGAGUUUUUUUUUCAUCGAAAAAUUUAAACACAGACAAAUAAAUUAGAAAAGUAAUUAUAAUAAAAGAUUAUAAUUGUUCUUUUUCCGUUGUAUUUUAUUUUUCAAUAUUAAUGUGGUUUUUUUUUAUUUCUUUUAAACAGAUGAUGAAACUCUUAUUAGAAUGUAAAGUUGAUAAAAACGCCAUUAAUCAGAGUGGCUUAACGACAAUGGAUAUCUCACAAGAACAAAGCCAAGUUGACAAUAAAGAGUGUAUAGAGAUUCUACGCCGUGCCAUAAGGCUUAAAUGCUCAAUCCCUCCAGCUCCAUCGUUACAAGAUAAGUUAAGGUCGAAGCUGACAUUUCAUGAAAAAUUAUUUGGUGAAGCCUUUCGUGAAAUUUUUGAUAUCUCAGUUGAGCGGAGCAAUGCUUUGCUCGUGAUAUCAGUUUUGAUUCUAACAGCUACUUACCAAGCUACUCUUAGUCCACCCGGUGGGUUGGGGCAGCGUGGCAGUGGUGGAAAUAAUGGUUCCAUAGGCGCCGGCCCUGCCCAUCUGCUGGGGAAAUCAACCAUGGAGGACCCAACUUCCAAUCUCGGAAAAUCAAGUAUGAGUUCAACGUCUUUUCUUCUUUUCUUUAUUCCAAAUACUAUCGCUUUUCUUUUGACAACAGUCUUAACACUUGGCCUCCUCUCAAUUAUUGCUAGUGCUAUCACCACUCUCCUUCAAAUACCCUUGUUUUUAUUAUAUUCUUGUCUUCUAACUUCAACAUAUUACAUUUCCCCAACCCCUCUAUGUACUUUCAUUUUUUUCUCCUUUAACAUAUUUCUCUUGGUGCUAUGUGUGAUAGUGCCUAUUAGAAUGAAAGGGGUCAGAUGUGAGGCCAAAUAAUUGUUUUUUUUUAUUUGAAAAAAGACAUCGUUAGAGUACGAAGAUGAUACAUCGAUUAAUGAACUAAAUGUUGGUCCGUUAAGUAGUUGGAGGAAGAUUAAAAAUCUGUAAAUUGAUAGAUAUAUAGUGAAAAUUAAUUUACUUGGUGACUUAGCUUUCUGCAAAGAAUGUUAAAAGAUGCAUUAACUAAUGUCUAUUUUUGUAUUUGUUAUUUCUAUACUAAUGAAGAAAUGGUUUGGCUUCAAUUCCCUUUCUCUAUUUCUAAUAACUUCUUUCUUUUUCUUGUAUUCUCUGAUUGGUUUUGCUUCUAUUGCAUUAAUUUAUUAAUUAUUAUCCUAACAAAAAAUACAAAUGUGGGGUUGAUUUUUUUUUUUUUUGUUGUUUUGUGAUUGAUUAAUUAAUCAACUCUUAUUCAGCUGUUCACACAUUAUAGUUCCACCUACAACAUUAUUUUUGGUAAGAAGGAAGAGAAAAGUACAAAUUCAUCCAUUUCCUUUCUCCCUUCGAUUUUCCUCCUAAGAAAAUAAUUUUUCAUUCAAUUCAUUUCCUUGGUUCCUUUUUGUCUCCUACCAAACAUAGUGUGAACGUCUUUUGUGUAGAAACAAGCCUCUACAAUGCUAGCUAGACAAACUCGUAAUUUUAUGUAGAAAGGGGAAAAGAAAGCAAGAACUCUUCUCAAUAUAUAUUUAUUUGGGUAAAAACAACAUGCAGAUGCAAUGAUCAGUUACUUGCACUAUGUUGUGAUGCCUUUGUUUAUUUAUUGCAAGCAAUCCAUGAAUGUUAUUAUGGCAUCGAGAAAAAUAGAAAGAAACAACAAGUGCACUGUAGGUACAGAAAAUCCAAAAUAUCCUACAAUAAUUAUGUUGGCUUCUAUAUAGUUAAAUACAUAUAAAUGCAAAAGUGAAAGUAAAUUACAAGGAAUAAAUGCUGAUUUUAUAAUUUUUCUUUUAGCCUAGCUUUAGAAAUUCUCCAAUAAAGAAUGUAAAAGAGACACGUUUUUUAGAUGCUCUGUUUUUCUUAAUCUGUCUUGGCCAAUCAAAGAUGAAUUCCACCAGAUAUUAGUAUUUAAAUAAAGACAAGUGCUCUUAAAGUUGUUUUUUUUAUUAUUUUGAAAAUUAAAAUUCAUUUAUAAAAGAGAGGGUAUCCAUGUAAAUUCAAAGGAGAGUUCAAGACUGGAGAGAAAACAGUAAUUAACGCUCUGUUCACAUACUGGUAAACAAAAACACCAGUCAGCAACCUGCCCUUCAACACAAAAAUUUCACCUUUUCAUUUACAGUUAACCCCUCUAAACCUAUUCCUGUUUCGCAUCGCUGACAUUAAAACGUAAAAUUAGUAAGACUAGGAAACACAAUCAGCAUGCCUGUUUCCUUCUCUCGCUUACGUUUCGGAACACCUGAAUUCGCUCCCGGACAAGAGGAUCCCAUAAACCACUUGCCAACCACCCCUCCCAAAGAGAUCCCCAGGGCCAACCCACCAGCGGCUAGGAGACUUCCACAACCCCAUAAACACCCCACGCAACACACAAGGUUCUGCAUAACCAUAGGAAAGGCAGCCAUAACCCAGGAGAAAAAACAAACGCAAAGAAACCAAAACAUGACAAUUAAGGCAAACCUUGCAGCAGGUCAUUGACUCUUUCCACCCCAUUUGGGCAAGGUUAUCCUCCAAAUCACUCCCAAAUCUUGGGGUAUGGAUAAUCUGCCAUCUAAGGGAUCUUUCCCAGCAUAGCCUUGAUUUUUAGCACCAGAUACCUAAGGCGCCAAGGAGAGGAGAGUGGUUUUGAGACCCAAGUAACGACAUUUAUAGAAUUCGUCUCAAUGAUUAAACCAUAGGCCUGACACCAAUCAGCCACCACAAAGAGAGCUAAAGCCUCACGAAUGGUUAACAUUUCCGCAAGAUUAGCAUCUCCCCAACCCCCUGCUUUCGAAAAUAAAUCUUCACUAUACCUUUGUUAUCCCGAAGCACUCCUCCAAUGCCAAGAGGACUCUGGCAGCUCCAUCAGUGUUAGAUUUUAACCACCCAUUUGGUGGUUCCUUCCAAUGUAACUUUGAUCUUAACCUUUUCUUUUUUGGUUGGAGUAACAGCAAGGUGCGGGAAUCUCACAAAAUCAAGAAUAUCCAAAUUAUCCUUGACUCACCAUGCAACUCUGAUUUUGAUGAUAUCCGGCACUUUACGGGCAUCCCAAGAUAUCUCGAAAGAUCAUUUCGUUUCUAUAAAACCAAAUAAACUAUACGAAAAAGGACAUUCUCCACACUUUUCUCCUAAGGAUGUCAACAGGAUAGUAUUUCCAAACUAAAAAGAAAGCAGAGGCUCUUAAAGAACCUUUUACAUACUUAAUAUACUAUUUAUGAUAAUAUUUUUUAUCUUGUGUCAAAUAAGAUAACUAAUAAUUAAUAUUGUGAAUUCUAAUGCAUUGGAUAAAUGAAAUUAUUUAAUAAAAUAAUAUUUAAAAAAUACUUUAGAGCACUGUUUAACAAAGCUCAAUAAAUAAAUAGUAUAUAAAAAUUUAAAAUUAAUGAUAAAAGUUGCAUUAAAAUUUGAACUGUAUUCUUUUAAUUCUAAUAUAUAUAUAUAUAUAUAAUAUAUAUUAUGUAUAUGUUAGAAAAGAUAAGUUUAACGUAAAACUACUAAGAGGGGGUUAAUUGGUUGUUAAGUAAAAAUUUCCCUUUUUUUAAAAAUCAACUAAACUGUGAAAGAAUAAAGCAAUAAAACAUAAUAUAAACUCAAUGAGUAAAGAGUAACAAAGUAAAAAGGCACUUAGCAAGAUAUUUAUGGAGGUUUGUCCUUCUAAUGUCUACAUCAUCUCCUUUGAUAGCAUAAGGAGUUUGAAUCCACUAUUAGUUUGCCUUUUCAAUAGGAUCAGAUGUAACCUUUACAACAUGCCUUUUGCAAANUAUAUAUAUAUAUAUAUAUAUAUAUAUAUGUAUAUAUUUCUUUUUGGAACACAUGAACGCAUAUUUAACACCAUCUUGGUCCAAAACGAAAAGUUUAGGAGAUGGGACAUCAGUCAAAAAGCAAAAUUCAAAGCGAACCAAUACUCAAAACUUUAUGCUUCAUGUCUGCCUUGGUAGGGUUAAAUUUAAAAGACCCCGUGUGAGAAUCUGAGAAUGUCUAGCUUUCAAGAUUGUUGCCAAUAAAACUGAAGAAGACAAUCACCCUUUAGUAGUUUGUUUGUCAGUGCAUGGAAAACGCUGCUGCAGCAGAUUUUUACUUGUAAGUACGUCGAGGUGCGGUGCUGUGCAGCCUCUCUCUUCUUUUUUAAUUGAUUGCAGUAAUUAGCCUAAGCCCUCACACUAACCUAUCAAUUUAUCUUUAUUCUAAGCCUUCUCAUCUCACUAUGUUCACCGGAUAGAAAGGAGCUGUGAAACCGUUCUGGAUUUCAUUAAUGCUCUCUUAAUUACUCUUUUAAUUGCUAUAUGAAGUAGCCUAAUCCUUUUUCUAUUUUCAGCAAGUCAUUGUCAGCUGGCUCCCUUGAUAUGGAUGAAACUCCCUUGAUAGAUCAGUUGUCACAUGCAUAAAUUCAAUUCCUCUUACAUAAAAUCUUCUCUACAUUUUCUUUUGCUUAUAAUUGUGCUCAUGUAUUAUUAUUAAAUUAACACUCCUUCUGAGCAAUGUAAGAACACACAUUUUGCUUUAUAAGAAAAAAGUUUGGUAGCAGCGACAGGUGGAGUUGUCAUUUAUCAAUCGUCAUGCAUUUCUUCUAUAUGGCUGUGUGUUUAGUGUUAAAAACGUAUGUGAAGUGAUACCCGCAGCAGUCUUCUGGUAGUUGCUGUGCUAAUUAUAAAAGCCACAUUCCAAGCUUCAUUGAGUCCGCCUGGAGGUGUUUGGCAGGCAAAUAGCAGUACUUGAUCCACCUUAGCAAAGAGAAACAGGAGGAGGAGAUUUGAUCAGAUAAGGGUGUAUAUGUUCAGCUUGAUCACCAUUUUCAAGGACAUAAUUUUCGAAGACAGAGUUGUAAGAAGUGAAAAACCUGUUAGGAUCAGGAAUUUCAGGGAAUGUGAAGAUGAGUCUAUAAAAGCUAAGGUCUCCUUUCAAUCUCUUUUCACAGAAAAACUGUGAUUUGGAGUAGAAUGUUUAAGGAAACAAGUAAAUUUCUAUGACAAUUCAGAUGCUAUAUUUGAUGAAAUGUAGAGAAAAAGUGAGACAGAAGUUGGCCGUCCAAUCCAAGGGGCACAAAUCCAGGCCUCUUUGGGGUUCGGGGAAGCAACUAUGGACCUGAGCUGUUCAACUUAGCCCAUAAGGUUUGAUGUGCUACCACUAGAUCUGUUAAAAUGGGUCUAGCCCAUUGAGUAGGUUCAUUUUUAAUUAAAUAUGAGAUGAGUUGGACCUAAAAAUUUAAGUCUAUAUUAAAAUUAGGGUCUAAAUGGGCCAGCUCAUCUGAAUCUUGGGUUAGGGUGGAUUGCAGUAGGUUAGCUUUGUAGGUCAGAAGAAAAAAAUAAAUUAAUAAUUUUAAUUAAUUUAAUAAUUUUAUAUAUUUAAUUAUAUAAAAUUAAUAAUUUAGUUAAUAAUGGUAUUACUUAUUUUAUAUAUUUUAAUGUCUUUAAUCUUUACUUGUCAAAUUAAUAAUUUUAGUUUAGAUUAAAACUUAUUAUCUCUUUUUCUUUUAUAGUAAUGAAUAUUAUAUAAUAAAUUGAUAAUAAUUCAAACUUUGAAACAUCAUUGCUGUCUAAACAAAAUUUAAAUAUUUUACUUGAAGAUGAGUAUUGAGGAGGAUAUAAAUGAGUUUUGAAGUUUUUAUUAUUUGAUUAUAUACUUAGGUUUAUGGGAUGGUAGUUUGUGUUAAAGAUUUAAACUUUAUUUAUGUAAUUUAUUUAUUUAUUUAUAUUUUGUGUAAUUCAUUUGUUUGUAAUAUAUUUUUAUUAUUUAAUUUAUGAAUUAAAUUAUAGAACAAUUUUAUUGAUAAAAAAUUUGUUAGGUAUAAUUAUAAAAAUGAUUUAAAAAAAAUAGAUUAACCCAAUCCGACCCAUGGUGGCUUGGAUUAAGGUUCUGAUGGUCUAUAUAAAAAAUAAACUGACCCAACUCAACUUAUAUUUUCUCGACCCAUAAAAACUUAAGUCGGACUGAAUCAAGCCAGCCUAUAUUGACACUUCUAGUUACCACUCUCAUUCCUCACAAAAAGGCUCUUCCCUGAAACAGUUUCAUUAAUAUAUAAAUAAAUAUAAUUGGCUAUUGGCUUUGGUAGGCAGAACACGUUUUCAUUUUUGCUUAAAAGGAAAUACAAUCAGGGCCAAGUUUCUUUUUCUAGAAUCUAUAUAUGUUGCCAGAAUUGACUUUUGAUCCAAACUUAUAGCUAAAACAAUGGUCUAUCUGGCAGUUUGAAACCCUGAUAAGCUCGGAAACAUCUCCAACGGACCAAAUACAUUGUAAACUUUGAAACAGUUGUUUUUCUUUAUAUAUAUAUAUAUAUAUAUAUAUUAUAAACUUGUUGUACAAUAUCAUUUGGUAAUAAUCGACACAAACUAAUAAAAUAAUAUCUCCCAGAUAAACAUUAGCAAUACCAGGGGAGGUUAGGCAGAAAGUGGAGUCCUUGUCGUCCCAAUUGUUAGUAGAAUUAGGCUCAAUAUAUGACCCAUUGACCCUACACUUUUAACCCCAUCAACAAGCCACUUUAAUUUACUUCACUGGUAAUUAAAGACGUUGAUUAUCUAUUAAGGAUAUAUAGUAGACCACAAAACAUGAUUUCUUUUAAUUAAUCGUUAUUAAUUAUCUCUAUACACCCUAAUAAAUUAGACCUGAAAAAUGAUAAUUUAAUUAUUAAUGCAUUUUUUAGAUUAAAAUUUGACUAAUAUGGCAUGACAUCUCAUUUUUGAUUGUUUCAUUAAAAAGAUUAAAAAUAAACAAAAUUGUCUCCAAACAUUUUGAAACUAAAAGUUCCAAAUUCCAUUUCGAAACAUCUUGAAUCCAUACUAAAUCAAUUUGUUUGCAUCUUUACAUUUGAAUAAUAUUUAUUCUUGUUAUUAUUAUUUAGAACUUAAUAUAGGAAUUAAAAUGUAGAUUAGGGAUUAUUUUAUUUAUUUUAUGUGAGUAACACACACCAACCAAUAGAAUAAUUAGGCAGAUAUGGUCCCACAAGCACUGGAUGGGUAGCUGCAUGGUAUUAAUAACCAAGACACACAUGAAAGAAACACUUAAACAAAAUCCAAGUUGUGUGUGUAUGUGUGUGUGAAUGGAUUAGAUUACAAUCUAAUCAACAUCAUUAUUAUAACAUUAGCAUUUUACAAACCCCACUACUUCUUCUUCUUCUUUAAUUUGGGGAAUAAAAUAGUCUUUCAAUUUUAUCCCUUAAAAGAAAUACCAGAAACCGGUCGCCUGUUUUACUAAAAACCAGAAUUGCAAAAGUGGACAAGUCUCUCCCAAAAACCGGGAGCUAUAAAUGAACGUUUUUUUUAUUUAUAUUUUAAAUCACUUUGCUUGAGAAUAUAAAAAUGUUACAAGUGGGGUCUACAUAUGAAAUUUUUGCCACGUAUUUUGGACUUGGAUGAAUGUUCGACACAUAUUCCUAUUUUCUCUCAUCUUCUUCCACUUGUCCUUAAUAUCUCAGAAACUCUUUAAAAGCCUUUUUGUUUUUUUAUUUUUACUUUUUACUUAUUUUGGAAAAAAAAAUAUUAUUUGUUGGAUGACGAAGACAGAAUCAACUUUAUUUUCCCUUGGGUUUGAGCAUACGUGGCUCUUUAGAAUGUAAGCUUAUUUGUAAAUGAGUAAAAAAGUUUACACUAUAUGCAUUUCCUAGAAACAAAAUAGAAAAAUGAGAGCAUUUAUUUAGCAUAAAUAUGGGCUUAUUAUGCAUUUGCGGUAAAAACUAAAAAUGUAAACCGGGGGCGCCCAAAGUUUAUUAGUUAAUUCUCCAACAGUUUUGGCCCUAGCUAUGAAUUAAGUCUGAUUAGCACCUUGAUUAAUUAGUAAAGAAUAUUAAUAUUCUUUUGGUGAUUGAUAACACAGCAACAAAUUUGAUUAUAAGCAUCCAAUUAGAAAAGGGUUACCAAAUUUUUAAUUGACUUUGCUAAUCGGUCAUAUAAAAAGAAUAUUCCAUUACGUAAAUGGUGGCACAUCGUUUUUACUUUUAGGAUUCUAAUUAUAAAGCAUUCUUAUAUAUAUGAGUGAGGUAAUAAAGGGAAAACUGAAUUAAACAAAUAGGAGGAGAAAUUAGAAAUGAUUGCAAGCUAAGAAAAUAUAUUAACUUGAAAUAUUGGUUUACAUCCAAAUAUUUGAUUUAUUAAUUGAUAUAUAAUUUUUAAUUUAAAAAAUAAAAUUUGAAUUCUCUUUUUUUAUUUUAAAAAAAACUUAAAGUAUUGAUUUCACGCAGUCUUUUUACAAGAAUAAUUGUAACAAAUCAUGUUCCAUUAAAAUGGGAUUAGGUACAAAAUAAGUCUAUGUUUUUAAUGGAUUUGUUGAGAAUGAUGGAAACAUGUGAGGUUAUCUAGAUCAUACAAAGAAAGAAAAUUCUCUUCAUAAACUUGCGUCAAAGCUCCUUCAAUCCAAUUCUAACAAUAACUUAAAGGACAAAUUAUUUACACCGGAAAUUUAUUAAUCUUAAUUUGUUAAUUGUUUAACGAAGAAGUUUAUCAUAUCAUAUAUCUAAGGCAACGUAAAACUUACCCUAUGUAUUUCUCUCUCAUGCAAGCAAAAGGUAUUUACAUCUCCAUUCAUCCACAUAAGUCAAACUUAGUAUUUAGAUAUCAAAUUUUCUGAAAUUUUAUAGGAUAUAUAACAUAUUCCCAGCAAAUGAGAUAAAGUUUGAGCGCAUAAGACGAUUUAUUUAUUUUUUAUGUGUAAAUUAAUAUUUGAAAUUUAGAUCCUCAAAUUCACUUAUUUACCUAUCUUACUAAAUAACACCAAAAUAAAGUAUGAUAAAAUUCAAGUUUAAAAAUAAUUUAAAUGACACAAACAAUUUUAGCGAUUGAGUUGAUCAUAUUCAAAGGCUCUAACGUUAAUAUUACAAGUUUGUACUUUUAAUCCAAAAUAUAUAUCUCUUAAAUAAUAAAUCUCGUACUUAUAAAUUUAAAAAUAAUUACAUUUUUUAUUAUUAUGAAAUUCGUAAUUUUUUCUUAACUCGAUUUUAAAAUCUCAUGAAGAGUCUAAUAAAAACAAAAAAUUAAAUAAAUUCUUAUACUAUUUAUCACAAACUCAUAUUUUUACAUGCUUAGUUGAAUAUUACGUGUACAAUAAUUGUUGAAUCGGUUUGGUUUCCAAAACAUUUUCUAAAUUCGGAGGUCAAUGUGUGACCCACAAAAAGCCCAAAGCCAAAACCAGCCACUGGUUUUUUCCAUCAGGGUAGUAUUAUGCAAAGAGUAAUGGGAACUCUCCUAAAAACAUGGAGCUGCAUGAUGUCCACAUGUCCAUUUCGGUCCACUCUGACACCAAAAAGUGGAUGCCACGCGCUUCCACCACGUUCUGCAUCAGCUUUUCGGACACACCAUGGUAUCAUCACUAGUGUUGUCAUUCUUGUCCAAUUUGUCUCCAAAUUCUCAGCUAAAGCCAUUGAAAAGAAAUUUGAAUGAUCUUUUUUACGAGAUCACAUACGUAAAUAGAAACUAAAAUCAUAAUUAAUAAUUCUUUCUAUAUAUAUAUAUAUAUAUAUAUAUAUAUGAAAUAAUAAUUAUUAUCUGAAAGAGAACAAAGCAAAUGACUAAACAGUUGAGAGAAUGGAUGGAGCUAAUCAAAUUAUGUUUUUGAAUGUAUUGAUCACUCCCUUAUUUGUUUACUAGCAAAUAUUAAUGAUAAGACAAAAGUACUAGAGUAGAUUUAAGGAUGCGCCCAUGGUCCCAACCAAAAACCCAGAAACCAUAUUUGUAAACAAAGACUUUUCCCCUUAGAAUCUGGAAGAAACCGAAACCUAAAGUACAGCCAAUAAUCUCUGACAACGUGUGCCCAUCGGACACCACUUUGACAAUCCUGAUCAGACAUAGUGGCCAAAGCCCCUUUCACUUCAACCUUCACAUGCGAUUUUUGGACCCUCUUUGCGUGCAUGGAUGGCACAUAUCUUCCUUGCUUUUCUCCUUCUCUUCCAUCUGUCCUUUCAUUUCGGUCUAAGAUUUUAAAUAUCUCCCACUUUUAGGACUGUGUGUGCCUUGGCCUGUGGGUCAUCAGAGCUCAAGUCAUACAUUGCCGCUGCAAUGGGACAGAAAAGGAGGGGUACAGAGUUCAUUGCAUAAAAUAAGGUUAGGUUGGGUGAGGCUGAGGUGACAAAGCUUCUGACAUAUUAAGGGCUAAGGUCACAGGUUAGCAGGAUUAUAUCUAUCAGCUAACAUAACUCUAUUGAGAAAUUUGAUACCAUGUGCAAGAAGUAUCUUGUUGAUGCCCUUUUAUGUGCCCAUUAUUUAUGUAGAGUGCCUCUAAUAAGACAUGAAAAAUGAGUCUUGCACUAAUGUUAAAGAAAAGGAGUAAAAAACCUGGUAUAUACCCUUUUACAUAUUAAAACUUGCUCCAACAUUUGAGAUUAUAAUAAUCUCUUAACUGCAAUGAUGCUCCACAAAAACAUGAAAGUUAAUUUUUUUUUUUAAUUCCACGGACAAAGGGGACCUAAUUGGAUUACAGGCCAAGAGGGAAGAGGAGCUCACUAGAUUCUCAAACUAACCAAGAGUGGGGCCAUUAAUCUCCCAAUUUAGUACCUUGAUUAGCUCAAGAAUAAUCCUUGGGGGGAGGGGGGGCUGUACCUAGGCAAAUCCAAAGAUUAAAAUAUCAAUAAUACAAAAGAAGAAAUGUUAUUUUAAUAUAAUACAUUUAACAAGUUGAUAAUAUAAAAGGAACAUUAAUAAAAUAUUAUAUGCAAAUGGCAAAGGAUUGAUGAUUGAUAGGCAUAGGAAAGGGCGACUAGCUAAACCAAUUAAGGACUGCUAAUUAACUAUGGAUGUGUCAGUCAAUGUUUAGAUAUUAGUUCUUUGUCUAUAGCAAUGCGUGAAGUCAAUUUUAAUAAGUAAUGCACACAAGAACUUUAGGUAUGCGUGCGAUGAUAGUGGUUAAUUAGUCCAAAUUUUUUGUGGCCGCCCAUGUUUAGUUAUAUCAUAAAAUAAAAUUAAUAAGAUAACGAUACAAGGCAAAACAGCUAGCAUAUCUAUUAAAAUUAUUAAUUUAUUUUACUAUUAUAAGUAAUUGUAUUAAUUAAAGCAGGUUUGCAAUGGGAGUGAUCAUGCACCAUCCUAUUGUCAGUAGGAGUUUCCUUAGGUAGUCUCCUACAUGCUUGAGUUAAAAUUGAGUUUGCAAAUGCUUUUAUGAUUCUUAACCUGGUGAUCAUGCACCAUCCAUUCCUAAUUGUUAAAUUUGGAAAUAUAAAUUUGAGACAGUGGGUUUGGAUUUAGUUUUGUUAUAUAAAUUAUAAGGUUGAAUGUCGAAAUUACAUAAAAAGUAAGAACUAGUUAAGAUUCAAUAUUGACCCCCCAUUAUAUGAAUGUUAAAUUAUUACUUUCGUUUAUAUAAAGUAUUUUGAAGUUACUAUCGAGUUACUAGAGAGUUCAUAAACUCAUAAAUUUGAAAAUAAUAAACAAGUUUAUAUUUAUGACACAUGCAUUAUAUUAGUUUAAUUAAUUAAUUAAUUAAUUCUUAAAUAUAUACCAAAACCAAAUUAGGCUAAGUGGAUAAGAGAGAGAGAGAGAGAGAGAGAGAGAGAGAGAGAAUUACCUUCAAUGGUGUAAUGCAACCAAUAAAUGAGGAAAAAAAUACUCCAAUAAAUCGGUAAAAGUAGCAGUUUGGGGAAGCAAUUAAUUUUGACUUUUUGUGAAACAGCAAUUAAUGAACAAAAUGGCAAGGCCCUGCAUGCUAGUUUUAGGCAUGGUAAAUGUUAAUUUAUUAUGGGAUUACAGUACUUCACAAUCUGGGUUGUUGAUAUCUAGUUGUCUACCAAUGAAACUGACUAAUUUUCACAUUUUGACGUCUAAACAUUCCAUUCUUUAUGCAAAUGUCUGACUUGAUUGGAUUAAUGAAUCUUACCUGAUUUCUCACCUUUUUUUUUUCCUCUAAAUAUGAAGCAAUGAAGACCUAACACUUGUCUUUAUCAGCAACCUGUGUUUUCUCCUUCUACGUACCGACUGCUAUUGCAAUGUCUCAAGAAUUCAAAGGCAGAUAGAGAAUUCGGUAUUUUAAAGAAAAAUUAAGGGCUUCCUUUUGUUCAUUGUAUCUUUUUGACCAAUGUUGUAAAAUCAUGUGCCUGUAUAUUAUUAUCUUGAUGAAUUCAAAUUCUGACUCGGGAGGAGUUGUGAAUCUAUAUACAAUAUUAUAAUUGAUGAUUCAGGUCUUUGCCUAAAUUACCCCACUUAAGUUUAAUAUGAUUAUAAAUAAUGAGUUAAUUAUCCAUUUAAGUGCCAUGUCUACAAAAGGUUGACAUAAAUUUGCAAAUUUUAAUUUUAAUUAAGUACAUAUUUAAAUGAAGUAUUAAUUCUUUUAUAUUACUGAUAGGGCAAGUCAAGACGAAUUAUAAUUAUUAAAAAAUAUUCAUGAAAGUGAGAGCGAAACUAGAGAUUUAGUUAGCAUCCGUGAUGGAAGCGGGACAAGUAAGGCUUGGGUGGUUGUGAGGAGCGGGGAUGGAUGAGUUUAUUAAUUAUUUUUUAUUAAUAUGUCAAAUAUUGGGGUGUAAAUAAAAAAAUAAUUAAUUUCAGGCAAUUUUUAAAUAUUGAUGGAGAGAGAAUGGAGCAAAGGUUGUCCCCAACACAAAAACCAGGAAAGCUGCCCACUGGUUUUGUCAAACAGCAGUUUUUUUUUUUCUUUUCUUUUCUUUUCAAUUUUUACUACUUUGAAAAACAGGUUUUGUUUCCUAAAAACCUGGAGCUCCUGACUGUUUAAACAAUAAAGAUGCACUGUGUGUGUUGUUAAUAAAUUUUAUAAUUAUUAUAUAAUUAGGCAAGUGGAUUCCCUUCUGACAGAAAAUGAAAACGUGGCUGCCACGCGCUGCUUUCGCAUUUCUCGUCAUCGUGCAUGAACUUUGGACUGUCUUGCAUGGAGCCAUCGCCACUUUUCUGCUUAUUCCCAUCCACUUGUCCUCCUCCUCUCUCAGGAAUCAUAAUUCGCGCCCCCCCCCCCCCCNNNNNNNNNNNNCCCCCCCCCCUCCCCCCCCCAUGCCCCUUACUCCACUCUGCUCACUUCAAAUUUUCAAUUCCUUUUUUCUUUUAAAAUUUUAAAAUAUAAUAUUUAAAUUGUUUAAAAAUAUUUAAAUAAGUCUUUAAUUUGUUAUUACAUUUAAUUAAAUUUUUAUAUUUUAUUUUUAAUCAAAUAAAUUUUUAUAACUAAUAAUUGACUAAUUACUGUUAAUAAAAAUAUAAUUUAUCAUUUUACAUUCAUAAAAUAUUGACAUGAUAUUGAUGUGAAAGUUAAAAAAUAUUACAUGAUCAUGUUAUUAUGUUAAAUUAACAUGUCAUGUCAUGUCAUUAUCAAUUAUAACAUAUCAACAUGUCACAUCAAAAUCAAUUAUAAUAUUUUAUCAUGUUACAUUAACGUCACGAUAUAAAAUAAUAAAUGAUAUUUUAAUUAAGUUAAUUAUUAGUUAUAAGAGUUUAUUUGAUCGAAAAUAAAAAAGUAUAUGAAUUUGUUUGUCUCAAAAUAAAAAUACAAUAACUUAAUUGAACGUAAUUAAAGCACAACAGCUUAAUUGAAUUUUUUUAAGUAGUUUAGAGACUUUUUUGUAUAUUAUAUCAAUUUUUAAUUUAGUUUCAAUUAAAAUAAUUUAUCUAAUUUUGACUGAAAUGAUUUAUAUAUAUAAAGGAACCCAAACCAAAAUUUAUAAUUGUGUUGAAAAUUUAUUGAUUUAAUUAAAUAGGAUUUGUGUCAAAUUUGUUUGGAUUAUAGUAGCAUUUGCAUGUUUUGGCACUUGGUAAGAAAAAAACACCAAUAACAAGCUUUGACACGUUUAAUUCAUAGGGUUGACAAAUUUUUUGUCUUCAUAUAUGUUCUCACGUAGUAACAUUGCAAAACAUUUAAUACAAAUAUGUGAAAGAGAAAUGCCAUAUGUGAUAAUGAUAAUGAAAAUUGUCCAAUCAGGGUUUGACUGGGAACAUAUGUGAAAGUUGCUUUUAAAGUUCAAAUUAUUUACAAUUUUUAUCAUUGAAGUAUUGGGAAAGUCAAGUAAUUUCAAUCGAAAUAAAUAACACAAUUCAUAGAUAAAAGAUUUUAAAAUUAAUUAAUAUAUAAUGCCAAUUACUGAAUUUGAUAUAGAGAAUCUAGUGAUACUAACUCAGUUGAUGAAAUUAUUUGAAAAAAAAAUUGUUCUAUUUUUUUAACACAUGAUUUUCACUUCUUUUUUGAAACACAAUUUAGUGUAUUUUUUUCUUUUUCCAUUCAUGUAAUAACACUCUAAUUAUUAAUAUAUUUAAAAAGGAUAUUUCAAUAAUUAAAAUUUGAAAUAUUUUGAGUAUUUCAAAAUUAAAUAUAUAUGAAAAUAAGAUAUAUAUAUAUACAUAUACAAUUAAAAAUAUUUUAUCCAGAAAAAAAAAUCUUUUAAAAUAUUUAGUAAUAUUGAUUCUUUUAACAAUAACUACACCCACGAUCCAUGUCGGUCCUCUCAUGGAUUCAACCAAAUAAUCCAAAUAACACCGAUUUUUUGUCACCUGGACAUGCUGGUUCAAGGAACCAACAAAAUUCUAGCGAAAGGCAAAAACAAAACUGUAAAGAGGAACACCAUUUUUAAAUUAUUAUACUUUAUAUAUUUAACAAAAGAGCAGUUUCUUCACAAUAGAUUCUGCACCUUGGUCAUAAUAAAAUAUAUAAAAUAUAAAAAUUUAAUAAAAAAAUAUAGCAAGUUGAGCCUUAACGAUGAUGCCAAAAGUAGAAAUUUCUACUGAAUUUAUUUAUGACUAAUUGCUAUGAACAACUUAUUAUUAAGAUUUGAGCCAAAUAAAAAUAAAAUAAUUUAGAAGUCAAGUUGGGCAUUUCUAGUGAAAAAAAGAAAGAAAGAAAAGGAAACGUUAAAUUACAUGUGAUGAGAUGUAGUCAUUGUCUUCCAAAUUCUUCGCAGCCGCCUCCUCAUUUAAAAUUGCAAUCACUUUUUAAUUAUUAAAAUGAGAAACCAUGCCAUGUUAUAAUUUCUGUACUUUUUUUUCUCCUUUUGCAUUAAUAAAAUGUUCAAUUAAUUGUCUCAUAUUGAGUAAGAUUAUUUUAAAAUCUGAACAUUUGAACAUUUGAAAUAGAGGAUAAUAAUAUAUGAUUUUUUGAUGCAAAGAGUAAAAUUUGGAUAUCAUUUUCUUAUUUUUAUUUCUCUAUAUAACAUUCUAUUUUCAUUCAAUUCAAAAAAAAAGAAAUUAAUCAAUUUUUUUAUUUAAAUAUCACCUCAAAUCCAAUGGAAAGAAAUGUUAUGUUGCCAAAGAUUUUACGAGGGAACUACCAUUUUCACGUUAUUUUCCCCAUAAAGAAAUGCAAUUAUUUUGGGGUGAAGACCAUCUUGUCAAUGCAGCUUGAAUAGAUCCCUCCCAGCAAAAGGGGUAGUGAAAAAGGUGAAAUGUACUUGUCUUUGAUGACAAGUACAAAUUCCAAGCAAUAACUUUCUCAAUUAUUAUCUCAUAAAUUCAGUGUUUAAUUUUUAUAAAUGGGUUUAUUUAAUUGACACAUACCCGUUUAAGUGAGUAUGUUAAUUUAUUAAUUUUUUUAUAAAUUUAUUUAUAUAGUUUAGAAACUCUACCAUUGAUAUAUCAUAUAUAAUUAAUUUAGUACAGAAAUAAUUGAUAAUAUCUCUAUCAAAAUAGAAUAUAUAAAUCAAGGUGCCUAAAA